GAUUUUUGUUGGUACUGAAAGUGUUUUUAAGAGACUAGGGCUGAACGUUGAGGUCCGUGUUGUAGUCUUAGUUUUUUUGUAAAUCUACAUGUAAGUUUAAGCUAGUAAUAAAUAGCUAUAGAGUUGUAUAAGAGAAUCUCAGUAGA
rnacentral:rRNA from 1 species